UACGGGAGGCAGCAGUGGGGAAUAUUGCACAAUGGGCGCAAGCCUGAUGCAGCCAUGCCGCGUGUAUGAAGAAGGCCUUCGGGUUGUAAAGUACUUUCAGUCGUGAGGAAGGUGUUAAGGUUAAUAACCUUAGCAAUUGACGUUAGCGACAGAAGAAGCACCGGCUAACUCCGUGCCAGCAGCCGCGGUAAUACGGAGGGUGCGAGCGUUAAAUCGGAAUUACUGGGCGUAAAGGGCACGCAGGCGGUUAAUUAAGUUGGAUGUGAAAUCCCCGGGCUUAACCUGGGAAUGGCAUUCAAGACUGGUUAGCUAGAGUCUUGUAGAGGGGGUAGAAUUCCAUGUGUAGCGGUGAAAUGCGUAGAGAUGUGGAGGAAGUACCGGUGGCGAAGGCGGCCCCUGGACAAAGACUGACGCUCAUGUGCGAAAGCGUGGGGA
rnacentral:rRNA from 1 species